UUUCCUCCACCUCCUCCACGAGCUCUGCUCCAUUUUCUCCUUUUGAAGCCUGCAAAAUUGGUAACAGUGUUGCAGGAAACAAACGGUUUCUGACUCAUCCAUCAUGAGACAUCUAACAGUUCAAAUUGACAGCCUGCCAUUGCUGACGUAGGAAAACAGGAGCAGCCAAGCAACCACAUAACCUUGCUCUUGUGGCCUGACUG
rnacentral:lncRNA from 1 species